rnacentral:rRNA from 1 species
GACGAACGCUGGCGGCGUGCCUAAUACAUGCAAGUCGAACGCAGUGGGGACGGGUGAGUAACACGUGGGUAACCUCCCAUCAGAGGGGAUAACACUUGGACACAGGUGCUAAACCGCUACUGAUGGAUGGCCCCGCGGUGCAUUAGCUCGUUGGUGAGGUAACGGCUCACCAAGGCCACGAGGCAUAGCCGACCUGAGAGGGUGAUAGGCGACACGGGGACGGAGACACGGCCCAGAAUCCGACGGGAGGCAGAAGUAGGGAAGCUUCGGCAAUGGACGAAAGUCGGAACGAGCAACGACGCGUGAGGGAAGAAGGUUUUCGGAUCGUAAAACUCUGUUGUUAGAGAAGCGGUAUCUAACCAGAAAGCCACGGCUAACUACGUGCCAGCAGCCGCGGUAAUAC